rnacentral:rRNA from 1 species
AUGACGACCUGCUUCUCUGAUAUUAUUAGAGAUCAUUCCCUCGAUUUCAUUGGCCCUCAAGAGACUAAGAAGAGCAAUUUUCCCCCUAAGUACUUGAGAAAAACUGAUCCCUUUGAUAGUUUUAAUUGGAACUGGGUCCUCUCUAUUGGCAAAUCAGGUGUGAUUUUAUGUGGGGUGAAAAAAGAAUCCUUGGACACUAUUUCAUGGAGAGUGGCGAAAUAUCUCCUGCAAGUUAAUGUAUUUGAUGUAAAGCUAAAAUGUAUGUGGGCCCUCAUAGUUAUUUAUGGGGCUUCUCACGAUGAGGAUAAAGAGGAAUUCAUAAUAGAGUUAACCUCAGUCUGCUCCCACAUUAGAAUGCCUUAUAUAGUAGGUGCCGAUUUCAAUAUCAUGUGGGAUAGUAGCGACAAAAAUAAAUAGCUGGCUCGUUCUCGGUAUGUGUAUAAAUUCAACUAUGUUAUUCACUCCUUGAACCAUCAUGAGAUUCACAUGGGAGGAAAAUAUAGUUGGACCAACCACCAAGAACACCCCACCCUAGAGAAGCUGGACAGAGUUCUUAUGAGCUCUGAUUGGGAAGAUCUUUUCCCUCUAGUCACUGGUUGCAAACUUGUGAGAGACGUGUCAGACCAUAAUCCUUUGCUUUUGUCCUCGAAUCCUGUGAAAACCAGCCCCCUUCAUCGUCAUGAAUUUAGAUUUGAACUUAGGUAG